GCGAAGGAAAAGAAAGCAAAAGCGAUUCUCCAAGUAACGGCGAGUGAACAGAGAACCAAGCCCAGCGCUAAGGAUGAAUUCUCUCAUCGGAAUUGAUCGGUGCAGCGUGAAUAUGUUCGUUAUCAUGGCCAUAUCUAUAUAUUAGCUCAAGUCUUAUUGACUUAAGCAUCUGAUCUAUGCUCUUGUAGUAUAUAUCAGCCUUAGAGGGUGCAAGCCCCGUAGAGCUAAUAGCAAUAGGUGCGGUUAAACGAGCAUACAAGAGUCGAGUUGCUUGAAAGUGCAACUUGAAUAUGCGAGGUAGACCACUCGUAAGGCUAAAUAUUAGACUACGAUACCGAUAGCGAACAAGUACCGUGAGGGAAAGUUGAAAAGUACUUUGAAGAGAGAGUUAAAUAGGGCGUGAAACCGUUAGCUGGUAAACGUACAGAGCCACGAAGUUAACUGAUAUAGGUUUCAGCUUGAGCGUAUCUUCUCAACAAAGAACGUUCGGGUGUAUUAUCUAUAUCUGUAACACUGCUAACAAUUAGACAAGUGAUUGAGUGUAUGACGUGCAAUAAUGAAUUCUAAUAAAGUUAUUUUGCUCGUAUACGCUACCUAUACUGAUUGUUAAACUAUAUCAUCCUUACGGAUGAUGUUUAUGAAGAAUAGACGCUAGUCAUGCUGUUCUAUGCUGUAUUAUGGAUUGUGUAUAAUUGUGGUAGCCAAUGUAAAAAGUUGGCUGCUAUGAUUUGCCGGUUAUAAUAUUGUGUACCAGAUGGUGUGUAAGAGCGCUAUUCACGAUAUGUGCGCAGUGAG
rnacentral:rRNA from 1 species